rnacentral:tRNA from 2 species
CGGGGUGUGGCUCAGCCCGGUAGAGUACUCGGUUCGGGACCGAGGGGUCGUGGGUUCAAAUCCCGCCACCCCGACCA